GAGGCUCAUCAUCAUCAUCGCGCCUCUCAUAAGCCGGCUUCUCGUAGCCCUCCUCUUCUUGCCCCUCAUUACUUGGCCUCCCAUAACUAGGCCUCCUCGGUGGCUCCUCCACCUCCGGACUCUCGUAGCUCGGCCUCCCAUACUGUGGCUUCCUGGGGGACCCUUCCCCACCAUAACCAUACCCGCCACCUUGUUCCUCUCCGAAGCUAGGUUUCCGACCGUACCCAGAUCCAUAUUCAGAACUCGGUGCUUCGUACUCAGGCCUCCGACCAUACCCAGAUCCAUACUCCGAACUGGGCUGCUCGAACUCGGGCCUCCGACCAUACCCAGAUCCAUACUCCGAACUAGGUUGCUCGUAUUCAGGCUUCCGACCGUACCCAGAUCCAUAUUCCGUGCUAGGCUGUUCGUAUUCAGGCUUCCGACCGUACCCAGAUCCAUAUUCCGAGCUAGGCUGUUCGUAUUCAGGCUUCCGACCGUACCCAGAUCCAUAUUCCGAGCUAGGCUGUUCGUAUUCAGGCUUCCGACCGUAGCCAGAUCCAUAUUCCGAGCUAGGCUGUUCGCAUUCAGGCUUCCGACCGUACCCGGAUCCGUACUCCGAACUGGGUUCCUCGUAAUCAGGCUUCCGCCCAUGCCCAGAUCCAUACUCACCCUCCCCACCAAAACUCGACGGCGGCUUCGGCUGAUACCCAUACUCACCACCAUCACCACUGCCUCCGAACCCUCCUUGGCCAGGAGGUGGUCCGGCGUAACCAAGGACCGGACGAG
rnacentral:lncRNA from 1 species